rnacentral:rRNA from 1 species
AUUGAACGCUGGCGGCAGGCCUAACACAUGCAAGUCGAACGAGUGGCGGACGGGUGAGUAAUGUCUGGGGAACUGCCUGAUGGAGGGGGAUAACUACUGGAAACGGUAGCUAAUCCCGCAUACCAUCGGAUGUGCCCAGAUGGGAUUAGCUAGUAGGUGGGGUAAAGUCUCACCUAGGCGACGAUCCCUAGCUGGUCUGAGAGGAUGAACAGACAAAAUGGGACGGAGAAACGGGCCAGAAUCCUACGGGAGGCAGCAGUGGGGAAUAUUGGACAAUGGGCGCAAGCCUGAUGCAGCCAUGCCGCGUGUAUGAAGAAGGCCUUCGGGUUGUAAAGUACUUUCAGCGGGGAGGCGUUACCCGCAGAAGAAGCACCGGCUAACUCCGUGCCAGCAGCCGCGGUAAUUC